rnacentral:tRNA from 1 species
GCCUCGGUGGCGGAAUUGGCAUACGCAGCAGGUUGAGGGCCUGUGCCCGCGAGGGCGUGAGAGUUCGAGUCUCUCCCGAGGCA